CUGGUUAAUCCUGCCAGUAGUCAUAUGCUUGUCUCAAAGAUUAAGCCAUGCAUGUGUAAGUAUGAACAAAUUCAGACUGUGAAACUGCGAAUGGCUCAUUAAAUCAGUUAUAGUUUGUUUGAUGGUAUCUACUACUCGGAUAACCGCAGUAAUUCUAGAGCUAAUAUGUGCAACAAACUCCGACUUCUGGAAGGGAUGCAUUUAUUAGAUAAAAGGUCAACGCGGGCUCUGCCCGUUGCCGCGAUGAUUCAUGAUAACUCGACGGAUCGCACGACCAUCGUGCGGCGAUGCAUCGUUAAAAUUUCUGCCCUAUCAACUUUCUAUGGUAGGAUAGUGGCCUACUGUUAGGACCUGACUCUUUGUCAUCGGGCGUGGCAAGGAUUUGGGCGUGAUGGCCUUGUCAAUGGCCUAUGUGCGGGCAAAACGAUCAUGCGGGCGACGGACAUGACAUUGGCAUUGAGGGCUGUUGUGGGCAAGUAUUGGCCAAGGCCUUGGGACAGGCAAGGCGCGCUUGGCAAAGGCUUGAUGAGGCAGCAUGGUCAAUGUU
rnacentral:ncRNA from 1 species